GAUGAACGCUGGCGGCGUGCCUAAUACAUGCAAGUCGAGCGAACAGACGAGGAGCUUGCUCCUCUGACGUUAGCGGCGGACGGGUGAGUAACACGUGGAUAACCUACCUAUAAGACUGGGAUAACUUCGGGAAACCGGAGCUAAUACCGGAUAAUAUAUUGAACCGCAUGGUUCAAUAGUGAAAGACGGUUUUGCUGUCACUUAUAGAUGGAUCCGCGCCGCAUUAGCUAGUUGGUAAGGUAACGGCUUACCAAGGCAACGAUGCGUAGCCGACCUGAGAGGGUGAUCGGCCACACUGGAACUGAGACACGGUCCAGACUCCUACGGGAGGCAGCAGUAGGGAAUCUUCCGCAAGGGGCGAAAGCCUGACGGAGCAACGCCGCGUGAGUGAUGAAGGUCUUCGGAUCGUAAAACUCUGUUAUUAGGGAAGAACAAAUGUGUAAGUAACUAUGCACGUCUUGACGGUACCUAAUCAGAAAGCCACGGCUACCUACGU
rnacentral:rRNA from 1 species